rnacentral:rRNA from 1 species
AAUAUUGCACAAUGGGGGAAACCCUGAUGCAGCGACGCCGCGUGAGCGAAGAAGGCCUNCGGGUCNUNAAGCUCUGUCCUAAGGGNAGAAACGGACGCUACCCCAGGAGGAAGCCCCGGCUAACUACUUGCCAGCAGCCGCGGUAAUACGUAGGGGGCGAGCGUUAUCCGGAAUUAUUGGGCGUAAAGGGUGCGUAGGUGGUCUUUUAAGUCAGAUGUGAAAGGCUACGGCUUAACCGUAGUUAGCAUUUGAAACUAGAAGGCUUGAGUGCAGGAGAGGAGGGUGGAAUUCCUAGUGUAGCGGUGAAAUGCGUAGAUAUUAGGAGGAACACCAGUGGCGAAGGCGACUCUCUGGACUGAGACUGACGCUGAGGCACGAAAGCGUGGGGAGCGAAC